CACCCUCUGCUGGUGACUGGCCCCAGAGAGAAGGGCCUUUCUUCUGGACUCUGGCCUCUGCAGCCCAGACGUCACUGCUCAGAGCUGGCAAGACAGAGACAAAACCUGCUUUCUUUGCCAGAUGCCCCGGAAGCGCCAAGAGCAGAGGCAGCCACUCAGAUGGCUAUUUUGGGAAGCUGGUGACAAGUGAGGAUCCUCCCCACCUGGACAUCCCACCUGGACACUUCUGCUCCCUCUCAGCACAUUUCUCAGCUUACGGUCUGGCCUGAGUCCCUCCAGCCGUCACUUGGGCCUCCUCAUGCUGCACCCAGGACCUUUGCACAUGCUGUCUCUCUGCUUCCUCUCAUCUGCUUCAAGUCUACUCAAACACCAUCACAGGGUACCUGGUGCCCACCUGCCUAUCUGGUUUAUUCCUUGUUAUAUACUACUUGUUCCAAUCUGAAAUUACAGCAACGCCUUUCACUCAA